rnacentral:rRNA from 1 species
CACGUAGGCACCAAGCGUUGUCCGGAUUUAUUGGGCGUAAAGAGCUCGUAGGCGGUUCAGUAAGUCGGGUGUGAAAACUUUGGGCUUAACCCAAAGCGUGCAUCUGAUACUGCUGUGACUUGAGUUCGGUAGGGGCAGAGGGAAUUCCCGGUGGAGAGGUGAAAUGCGUAGAGAUCGGGAAGAACGCCAAGGGCGAAGGCACUCUGCUAGGCCUGAUUUCGCGACUGACACUCAGGGACGAGAGCCAGGGGAGCGAAUGGG